CAACAAGGAAGAGGAAUCUUAUGCAAAGAUGUUUCUUCCCCUCAGUUUGAGUGGUUUGGUUUAUCUGAGAACAUUAUUUAGGAUUUCUUUUUUUUCUUCAGCAUCCACAGAUUCCCUUCAAUGCAUGUCUUCCUCUGGAACUAAGCAAUGGAUUGUGUUUUUUUUACUUCCUUCAAAACAUUAAGAAAUGAACCAAUGUAAACCAGAUAAUCUUCUGGUCUUUAGCCAUCACAGGAGCCUCUCAUUUCCUUCAGGAAUUUCAAGCAAUUCAGUAGUUCUUUAACAAUUGCUGGACCAUGCCAGGUCUUCCAACAAAAUGUUCUAAAGAAGACCUUCCACUGCUGUGAAACAUUGUAUUUAGUAGCCACCUCUCUAGAUACCCCAGAAGUUCCUGGUAAGCCCAUGGAAAAGGCAGGAAGUAGCAAUGGUGGAUUUAAGCUGAAGAGGAUGACUUUAUUUGUGAUGAUAUUUCCAGAGUGUAAGCUGCCAAGAAUCUGGACACAAUUGGUCACUCUAUCAGUCAAAUACAUAGAGACUGAAAAAUGUUCAUCCUUAAUUUGUGCCGUGUGUAUAAAAUGGGCAGCGGAUAAAUUUACUAAAUAAAUAAAAUUUACAAUGUCAGAAACAGGUUACCCAACUAUUUCUUCACUCAUCCUUUUCCUUCUUUCAAUUUUCUUUCUGUUUUUCUCUUUUCCUACAAGUGUGCAUGUAAAAUAUUACCUUUUCUCAGGACUUUGAAACCAGGCAAUAAAGAAAUUACAAUGGUUGCCCUUUAGGAGCCAUGAAUUUACUUCCUGGUUUCACUAUGUAAUAUUAACAGGAAUGCCUACUCUUCCUUUACUGAACACUUCUACCAAUUCUGCCUUUCAGUCUGUAAAGCCAGCUUGCUGCUUCUCCUUCCCGCUGGCCCUUCCUUUCCUAUUCCUUCUACUCUCUCUCCUCUCUCAGGUUAACAGUGAUGGCUGGACAUUUUCUUCAAACAAAAUUACUAAUUACAAAAUUUUCUAAUUACUGUAAUAGAAGUUCCCAAUCUGAAAUCCAGACAAUCUUGCUGAUAUUUUAAAGAGCAGUGGAGAUAUGUAUGAGAUACCACAAUUAAGAUACGUAUAACGUUUCUGCAUUGUAUUUAAUAUUGCAAAGGAUGCUGCAUUAGGACAUUGUCUGAAGUGCAAUUUGAUUCCCAGGCAUCCUUGUACAAUACUAUCUGAAUAUAAACUGUGAUCAUUUCAGGCUUCCCAACCUGGGCUUAGAUUUACAUUUCAUGACAUUUCCUGCUUAGUUUGGCAUCCUGUCUUGGCUUGUCUUAACUGAAAACUCAGACAUGGAUCAGUUAAAGCAGAAUCUUCAUUGAAGAAAAGAAUGAAGCCACAUAUAAUGGCUUAUUUCCUCCUGAAAAUGCAAAGAUGUAAAUGAUGUUGAUAUACUCAAGUCUUUAAACUUCACAUUUAUUCUUCCCAUCUUUCUGAAUUAAUAGAUAUUUGGGGUAGUCCUUGCUUGCUUAAGAACAAGAGACUAUUUUAUGUUUUUGAAAUGACCAUCUGACUGCAGUUUGCUCCUCCCCAACCUCAAGCCUUACAAAGCUUUUGCAGAGAUAAAGGUGAACAAACGCUGGUUGCAUGUUUGGCAGUUAGAAUAUGGAAUCUAAAAAUAGAUUACUUUUGUGCUAUCCUCAAACAAGAACAUGUUAAAAUGGCUUUCUUACGUAGUGGUCUGCAAAAUACACUAUUUUAAUAAUAAUAUAGUGAUUGAUGUGAAGAAAAAUUAAUAGGAGUUGUCACCUCCAGAAGGGACAAUACAAUUGUCACACAGAUAAACCUGUUUUGGGGAGUAUGUAACUAUAGACCUCUGCUGCUCUCCUCUAAUUUCAAGGUAUAACAUAAAAUUGCAAUGAAUUACCUAAAAACUAAAAAGAAAAAGAAAAGAAGAACUUCCUUUUCAAAGUUCUUGUCUGUUUACUUAGUUUUUAAUCAUUAAACACUAUGUAGAAAUCAGCAUCUAUAUGUAUAUUAUUCCUUUCAACAUUAUUAUCACUUAUUAUUCCCCUUUUGGAUUUCUUUUCUUCUUCCACUCCAGAGCUGAUAGUAGAUCUUCCCCUUUCUUUUUGUCUCUGCUCUUCCUCCUCUCAGUGCCUCUUUGGAUGGGAUUUGGCAUGAUCUACUUAGCUUGAUUGAUCAGUUCAAGAUACUUCAUUUCAUCAUCUCUCUCUCCUUCUGUCCUGGCCACUUUUUACAGAGGCACGACUGAGAGCAUUUUAACAAAUGCAUCACUGUCUGCUUUGGUGGCAGCAGUGCCUCAGAUAGAAAGUCCAAAAGAGAACAGUAAGAAGAGCCGAGAAGAUCAUAGGAAGCUCGCUUCCUGGUGUUCAGGAUGCUGCUUAUAAGCGCUAUGUGCUUAGAGCGCAAAGCAUUGUUAGAGACCCCACACACCCACUUCACGGUCUGUUUCUAUUGCUUUCCUCUGGGAGGAGGUUUCAAAGUAUUUCUAGCAGGACUACCAGAUUCUGCAAUAGCUUUGUUCUCUAGGCCAUCCGUCUAGUAAACUGGCAAGAUUCAUUUUUCUCACCAUGCACAUGCAUACAUAAUCUGAUCUACACUGUAUUGUUUCUCUGUGUCUUAUAUGUGGGUAUAUGCAUAAUUCCAUAUUUAUUUAUUUUUGUCAUAUUUAGGCAGUGUCUA